GGGGGUAUAGCUCAGUGGUAGAGCAUUUGACUGCAGAUCAAGAGGUCCCCAGUUCAAAUCUGGGUGCUGCUU
rnacentral:tRNA from 1 species